UACGUAGGGUGCGAGCGUUAAUCGGAAUUACUGGGCGUAAAGCGUGCGCAGGCGGUUUUGUAAGCCAGAUGUGAAAUCCCCGGGCUUAACCUGGGAAUGGCAUUUGGGACUGCAAGGCUGGAGUGUGGCAGAGGAGACUGGAAUUCCCGGUGUAGCAGUGAAAUGCGUAGAUAUCAAGAGGAACACCUGAGGUGAAGACGGGUUGCUGGGCCAACACUGACGCUGAUGCGCGAAAGCCAGGGGAGCAAACGGG
rnacentral:rRNA from 1 species